rnacentral:rRNA from 1 species
GAGUUUGAUCAUGGCUCAGAUUGAACGCUGGCGGUAGGCUUAACACAUGCAAGUCGUGCGAGAAAGUAUCUUCGGAUAUGAGUAGAGCGGCGGACGGGUGAGUAACGCGUAGGAAUCUACCUAGUAGAAGGGGAUAGCCCGGGGAAACCCGGAUUAAUACCGUAUACCUCCUUCGGGAGAAAGAAGGCCUCUCUUUGAAGCUUUCGCUACUAGAUGAGCCUGCGUAAGAUUAGCUUGUUGGUGAGGUAAAGGCUCACCAAGGCGACGAUCUUUAGCUGGUCUGAGAGGACGAUCAGCCACAUUGGGACUGAGACACGGCCCAAACUCCUACGGGAGGCAGCAGUGGGGAAUAUUGGACAAUGGGCGCAAGCCUGAUCCAGCCAUACCGCGUGUGUGAAGAAGGCCUUCGGGUUGUAAAGCACUUUAAGCAGGGAGAAAAAGUUAUAAGUUAAUACCUUAUAACCCUGAUGUUACCUGCAGAAUAAGCACCGGCUAAUUCCGUGCCAGCAGCCGCGGUAAUACGGAAGGUGCAAGCGUUAAUCGGAAUUACUGGGCGUAAAGCGCGCGUAGGUGGUUUGUUAAGUUGGAUGUGAAAGCCCUGGGCUUAACCUAGGAACUGCAUCCAAAACUAACUCACUAGAGUACGAUAGAGGGAGGUAGAAUUCAUAGUGUAUCGGUGGAAUGCGUAGAUAUUAUGAAGAAUACCAGUGGCGAAGGCGGCCUCCUGGAUCUGUACUGACACUGAAGUGCGAAAGCGUGGUAGCGAACAGGUCUAGAUACCCUGGUAGUCCACGACGUAACCGAUGACACUAUCGUUGGGAGACAUGUACUUAGUGGCGCACCUACGAUUUAGAUGUGAGCCUGGGGAGUAUGUCUCAUGAGCACUAAAAUGAAUUACGGCAACCCGUCCAUCGGUGGACUACUGUUUUAUUCUAGGCAACUCUCGAAACCCUUACUUACUCCUAACAAUCCGGGGCUCUCUCUGCCACGAAAAAGCUGCCCGCUAUGACCCCGAGAUACAUGUCGUCGCAUUGUCUGUCCGCCUCUCCGUAUUGCGUACCGUUACCAUUCAACCUCGCAACAGCCGCUUAGCCUUUUACUCUUGAUAUUUAUCACGAAUUCGCGUCGU